rnacentral:rRNA from 1 species
CGCCUCUUGAUAAGAGGUCCAGCCUGCCCAGUGACGUUCAACGGCCGCGGUAUCCUAACCGUGCGAAGGUAGCGUAAUCACUUGUCUUUUAAAUAAGGACCAGUAUGAAAGGCAUCACGAGGGCUAAACUGUCUCCUCUCCCUAAUCAGUGAACCUAAUCCCCCCGUGAAGAGGCGGGGAUUCUUAUAUAAGACGAGAAGACCCUAUGGAGCUUUAAACAUUAUAACACCUGCACGCUGAUUACAUGUUUUUGGUUGGGGUGACCGCGGAGAAAAACCAAUCCUCCGCAAUGAAAAACAGCAAGCUACAACUUUAUGUAUCAGCAAACUGACAUUCAUUGACCCAAUACAUUGAUUAACGAACCAAGUUACCCUAGGGAUAACAGCGCAAUCCACUUCAAGAGCCCCUAUCGACAAGUGGGCUUACGACCUCGAUGUUGGAUCGGGAUAUCCUAGUGGUGCAGCCGCUACUAAGGGUUCGUUUGUUCAACGAUUAAAACCCC